AGACGCCAUUUUUUAUUGAUUCACCUGCUCAGGUGAGCGGGGGACACCUGAGCCCCGCAGGUGCUGCCAAGGGGGGGGGAGGGGCCAGGUGAGAGCGGCCAGGUGAGAGCGGCCAGGUGAGGAUUCCAGGUGAGAGUGGCCAGGUGAGGUUAAGGUGAGAGAUUCCAGGUGAAGAUUGUGGGUGAAGAUUCCAGGUGAGAGUGGCCAGGUGAGGAUUCCAGGUGAGGAUUCCAGGUGAGGAUUCCAGGUGAGAGGUCCAGGUAUGAGGUUCACGUGAGAGGCGCCAGGUGAGGUUCAGGUGAGGAUUCCAGGUGAAGAUUCCAGGUAAGGUUCCAAGUGAGAGCGGCCAGGUGAGAAGGCCAGGUGAGGUUCAGGUGAG